UCUCGCGCCCUCGCCAUCCCAGGCCCAUCCCCCUCCUCGGAUCUAACCCCUCUCCUGUCUCCGCGACCGCGGUCAUGGCGGGCGCUGUGGGGCCUUCGAUGUGUGCGAGUGCGACCCCUUUCUAAUCUAAAGCGGGUGAUUCGUCACGCAUAGGCCAACUGCGGCAAGUUUGCCGCGCUGCAGCAAUCCAUUCAGUGAUGUCUCGGUCCGUGCGGCCCCUUUCUACCCUCUCCUCCCUCGCAUUGGGAUCUCAUGGCGGCUGAUGUUGGAGUUGUGAUGAUCUCUGCGUGGUUCGUGUCGUUCCAGAUAGCUUCAAAGGGGGCUACGGCAGAGGGCGCAGUCAUCACGAAGGCGCUUGGGUCAGCUGGGCGCGUGCUCGAUGGGCCGCAGGCCGAGUUGGUGCCUGGUGCUGCAGCCACCCGCCUCGCCGUGGAGACCAAGCACGUCAAGCUCGUCGAGUCCGCGCUCAACUGCCUCCACAGGAUAUACCAAGCAUUGGUAAAAGGCUUCAUGCACUCAUUCUGAAAUAUGGAUGAUUGCGAAAGGUUCACUAGAAGAUGAUAUAUUCCACGAGCCCAUCUUUUCCUGCUUCGGUCUUAAAGCUUGCCCAGUCCACUACCUUCUCUGUUAAUUGGCCCCUGGCACACGAGCAAACCGGCUGCUUUAUGCUCUACUGAAAUCAAUCAGACAAUUAUCUGAGCUGAUGAGGCUACGCACCACCUAAUCUCUCUAUCCAUCCGUUUUGCACCAAUAGAGUUAUUUGAACUCGCAUCAGCAGGUGAAGAGCAAGGAGGAACUGCACCAACUUUAUUAUUCGAUGAUGCCUGCGCAUUGCCCUUCUCCACCACAUUGCCUUCAGCUGAUGACUAUUUCUUUCGAGACAGUUUUGUCCUCACAAUUGGAGCUGGACGAUUCUUCAGGCAAGACUUAAUCUCUAUCAUCAUCGUCGACACAUGAAUUUGAAGUAAUACUUGUCCUCAGAAUCAUUGUCAUGACAAUUCUCAUGUUCAUUGCCAGCCCUAGCUGUAUAAAGCACUAGAGAAUUCUUGCCACUACAACAAGCGUCUGUUCUUUCUGCUGAACUCUCAUCAUUAUGCUUCACCGGUGAAUUUAUAUGUGGACUGAACUUUGCCACACUUGGUGGAGUUACUAUUAAAUUCUCAUUGUCUGCUUUAAUCUUUAGCUGUGAUGACCUUUCAAAACUCAGAACAAUCUCCUUGUGAAUCGACACGAUAGGAAAUUUAUCUUGUUCAAAUUUUCCAAUAACUUCACUAGAUUGUACUACUUUAUGCAAAUAAGAGUUUAGAAGACACCGUCUCACUGAAUUUUCUGUGUCAUUGUUCACACUAACUACCUUAACUGGAGAAGGAUUUGACUCUGUCCUAGAUAAACCAAGCCUCUGACUCAAAGAUUGCUUUAAUGAUCUCUUAUAAGAAAGACUCUUAAUAUCACUCUCCUUAAGAGCAGUUCCAUUAUUAGGGCAUGUACAGUGGAGAGACACCAAAACGGUUCUCCAAGUACAGGAGACAACUAAGAGACUCUAUUGUACAAUGGAGUGUCUAUAAACGUAGUCUAUUAAUAAAUACAGAAUUAAAUGUAUUUGUAUAGCAUCAGAUCGAUAGAACAGACGACAAAUUCGUACAGUGGGAAGUGAGACGUCUGUUGUUACUUGGUUUACGAGCCAGAGGCGUCUCUUCACGGAGAGACGGCUCUAAGAUUUUUUUACAAAUAACCCCCUAAAACACCUUAAGAGCCCCCACAUUAAACACCACUGUACAUGCCCUUAUGUAGGUUUCUCCACUGCUCUUCCCAGUAACUCUUAGCUAAUGGAUGCAACAGUCCUUGGAGGAGUUGAAGUAGCUAGAUUACUAUAAACUCUAUCAUAAUCACAACUAUUCUUGUAGAUUCAAUAUGAAUAUUGGACCAAUGCAUUGGGAGUUGUUGCAAAGGGCAAUGUAAUAAAUGACUUUGCAACUCAAAUUGUAGCAAUUAUGCUACGGCUAUAUGGAUGUAGCUCAAAUAUUGGUUAAGGAGUGUCUCCAAAUAUUGACAUAACUUAUACUCCGUCGCAACGAUCGGGUAUUGUACUAUAACAAAAUUUAUGUAUAGCUAGGAUUACAAAUGGAUUAUGAAAU